UACGUAGGGGGCUAGCGUUGUCCGGAAUCAUUGGGCGUAAAGAGCGUGUAGGCGGUCCGGUAAGUCCGCUGUGAAAGUCGGGGGCUCAACCCUCGAAUGCGGGUGGAUACUACUGGGCUAGAGUCCGGAAGAGGCGAGUGGAAUUCCUGGUGUAGCGGUGAAAUGCGCAGAUAUCAGGAGGAACACCGAUGGCGAAGGCAGCUCGCUGGGACGGUACUGACGCUGAGGCGCGAAAGCGUGGGGAGCAAACAGG
rnacentral:rRNA from 1 species